ACCAGUUUUCUGGAGCGCUGUGUGUUCUUAACAGCUGAGCAGUCUGUUUCUCCAAUCAGGUUUCAAAGCCACUUCAACUGCACUGGCCCCUGUGGGUCACUGCUGCACCGCCCUGACCCAUGUGGGUCCCUGAGGAGCGACCUGCCGGGGCCACCUGGCUGGACGAAAAAGACACACCUUGGACUUAAGCCGUGAGAAAAAAACUUCAUCAGUAAGAAGAAUGAAUAAACAGACUAGGUUGAAUCCAUACAAUGGAAUGUUAGCAGACAAUAAAAAGAAAAUGAACUAUUGAUGUCCCCUACUGCACAGCAGAAGCUCUGAAUCGUGUUCCUGAAUGAAAGAAGUCAGAGAUGAAAAGAUGGGCCAGGAGUCCAGUUUCUGGAAGGCCAAGAAUCGAAGUAGCAAGCUGCAGCCGUUUUCCAGACAAGCAGGAUGUGGGGAUGCAGAAGAAUUCAGGACUGGAGGGGCAAACUCCAUGGUGUCAGAGCAGAUCUGAAGUAGAGCUUCUAACGACUCCCAGGAGUGCUGAGUGACCGAAGCCAGGUACCUGCAGGACCUAUUUGUGUUCGUUGAUCUCUCAGAGCAGUUGGAAGUCAUG
rnacentral:lncRNA from 1 species